rnacentral:rRNA from 1 species
UUUGAGAGAACUCGGGUGAAGGAACUAGGCAAAAUGGUGCCGUAACUUCGGGAGAAGGCACGCUGAUAUGUAGGUGAAGUCCCUGCGGACGGAGCUGAAAUCAGUCGAAGAUACCAGCUGGCUGCAACUGUUUAUUAAAAACACAG